ensembl:lncRNA
GAGCUUUUAACCCCAAAUGAACCUAAUAACUUAUAACACAAAGAGUGAUGCUUAAUGGCCAUAAAAAUGGACAAAUCUUGAAAUUAUGGUUUAAAAUUCACUGCCACUGGCUGCCUUUUAGCAACAAUGAUCUCCUAAUGGAAAUGACACUCAAGAGCUGCACACAUUCAUCAGCUCAUCUUAUCUAGAAAUCAUUUGGUGAAUGCACAGGAAAUGGUUAAAUCUUUGAAAACAGAACUUCAGCACGUUUGCACUAAACAAACAAAUGCUAGCGACAGACAUGAAAAGCCUUAAGAAUGUCUGAACAUGCAAGAUACUGCUCAGCCUUCUGCUUUAUCUUCACCAUUGACUGUUUGUUGGUGACGCAUGUAAAGGCACAAGACUCUUCCAGUGAUGAAACAGAAAUCAAAUAUGCCGUCAUAGGAGCAGGAAUUGGCCUUUUCUUUUCCAUCUGCUUUCUGCUAAUCAAAAUGUACAUCAUCAAAAAGCAGGUGCAUGACAAUGAACUCUCAGACACAACACCAAGAAGAGCAUCUCCACGGAUCAUUGAUGUGGAGAGCAGGAGGGAAUGAAAUGUCUUCUGAGGAUGAAUUAAUACAGUUCUUUGUCAUUCUAUGGCAAUUUGAUAGUUUUAUUUAUUAAAUGGUGACCAGUUUAGGCCUAUUAACAAAUGAUUGUAAAAUCAGCAGAUCGGUGCCAUUUUUUUGUGCCUUCAUGAGGCCAUACCUGCUUAAAUGUGAAUAAUAUAUAUACUGUACCCGGAGCUAUAUAUUCAUUAAUUGUAACAUAAAAAAAAAAUACUGUUUGUAUCAAGAGCAUAAAAGAUAUAAACCAUCGUGUCUUUUUGAUUUAGAAUCCAUUUGUUGUCUUUAAUGCAUGUUUUACUUCCUUUAUUCAUCUGUUGUGACAAUUACAUCUACAUUUCUAUGUCAUUAAAAAUGACUGUAUAUUUCUUAAGUCAACAAAACAGACUAUAAAAUUAAGUCAACAAAAAAUGAACAGCUCGUAGUACAGAAUCUGAUUUAGUCAUUAAUCUUUAUUAAAAUGCAUCUCUCUCUAUCUUUCUCUCUUUCGUGCUUUAUCUACAGUAUCAGAAACACACAUAUUACACUGGUAUUUAAAAAUGUGACAUCAAAUGUAAAAUGAUUUUUUUAUUUUAUUUUUUAAUUAAAGGCAGAAUGGCAAUGAAAGAUGUUUGAUGAAGUCUGUUGGUUGCAAGAGUUUGUUAGAAUUAAUUAUUUAUUUUCAUGGAUAAACUACUUGCAUUAACACAUAUUCUAGUAGCAUCAAGUCGAAUCAAGUCUCCUUUAUUUAAAUAGCACUUGAUUAUACAAAACAGAUACAGAUCAUCCAGUUCAGCUCUCUUCCAGUAGUGUCUGUGCAAUCAGUCAAGUGUCCCCAACUAAUCAAGCCAAAGGUGACAGAGGCAAGGAACCAAAACUUCAGUCAAGGGGUCAGUCAAGUGUUCCGGGUUCCAGCUGACCUAAUUAAUGCAGCCUUACAAUAAUUUAACAGAUUUGAAUUAUAGAAAUGUGAUAGUAUGUUAUGUGUAUGCCAGGUUAACGAGAUGGG